UGUGAUAGACGAGGGGAGAGGGGAGGUUGUAUUAAUAAUAAUAUUACAUUGUCAUUUGUUUUUACUACUACCUAUUUUCUUGUGACGGGAGCAGGAAAAUAAGUGUAUUGAAUAAAAGGCCAGUCUGCAUUUUGUCUUUAUUGCUCUAUAUUAAGUUGAUAUUGACUUUUAUCCAAGUGAAACACAUACCCUGGAGAAGUAUUAUAUAGGCACCAGGUCCUUGGUGUUCCAGUUGGCCACCAGGUCCUUGGUGUUCCAGUUGGCCACCAGGUCCUUGGUGUUCCAGUUGGCCACCAGGUCCAGUUCAGGGUCCGUCAUUAAAGCUGCUAACUAACAUGUUGGAUCCACGCUAAAAUACUGAUAGAUAUCGAUCUUUCUUGUUUCUGUGACGAAGGUCUGGAUCCUGUUGGCUUGGGCAGGAUACUUGCAGCGGAGUUCUGUCAG